AGGGUUUGAUCAUGGCUCAGAUUGAACGCUGGCGGCAGGCCUAACACAUGCAAGUCGAGCGGCAGCGGGAAAGUAGCUUGCUACUUUUGCCGGCGAGCGGCGGACGGGUGAGUAAUGCCUGGGAAAUUGCCCAGUCGAGGGGGAUAACAGUUGGAAACGACUGCUAAUACCGCAUACGCCCUACGGGGGAAAGCAGGGGACCUUCGGGCCUUGCGCGAUUGGAUAUGCCCAGGUGGGAUUAGCUAGUUGGUGAGGUAAUGGCUCACCAAGGCGACGAUCCCUAGCUGGUCUGAGAGGAUGAUCAGCCACACUGGAACUGAGACACGGUCCAGACUCCUACGGGAGACAGCAGUGGGGAAUAUUGCACAAUGGGGGAAACCCUGAUGCAGCCAUGCCGCGUGUGUGAAGAAGGCCUUCGGGUUGUAAAGCACUUUCAGCGAGGAGGAAAGGUCAGUAGCUAAUAUCUGCUGACUGUGACGUUACUCGCAGAAGGAGCACCGGCUAACUCCGUGCCAGCCGCCGCGGUAAUAC
rnacentral:rRNA from 1 species